rnacentral:rRNA from 1 species
GAUGAACGCUGGCGGCGUGCCUAAUACAUGCAAGUCGAGCGGUAAGGCUCUCACAGGUUAUUUGACCAAGCCAGGUCGCGGAAAUUGCGCGAGCAAUUUUCGCAUCAUAAACGGAAUGAUGAAGAUCUGGUACCAAACCUCAAUUAUAGAGGUGAGGUCGAGUAACGUGUGAGAGUACACGAGCGGCGGACGGGCUGAGUAACGCGUAGGAACGUACCCCAAAGGAGGGAUAAGCACCAGAAAUGGUGUCUAAUACCGCAUGUGCUCUAAGGAGUAAAGCUUCGGCGCUUUGGGAACGGCCUGCGUAUGAUUAG